rnacentral:lncRNA from 1 species
UUCUGUUAUUUCGGAAGUCAUGGAUUUACAGUGCCAAGAGCGCCGGGCGCUCUGAUACCACUGAUGCAAGCUGAGAGUUAGAGAGAAAAUAGAGCUACAGCUAAGAUAUAAUCUAGGGCAAAAGAAAAGGAUUUUUCAUUCAUCAUCUGGAAUGUUCUUUUACAGGACCUAUGAUCUGGUCUGUUUGCGAAUCCAGAAUUUGUUUUCUCAAAGCAAAGGUUACGAAUUUGAGAAUCAAAAGUCUGCCCUAAUUUUCAACCUCUGUUUAUGAGUCCAGGUACGCCUCCUCUCCUGGUUGCUCGUUUUAUUCUUUUUCAACCUCGCUUUCUGAGUUGCUCGUUUGGAAAUCGAUUUAUAGCUUUGCUAUAUUCGACUUCUUCUUCUUCUUGUUCUGUAACAUUAAACCUGUAAAAGAGCGAUACUGAAAUAUGUUGAAGUAUUUUGUUCUGAAAUAUGUUGAAACAAUAAUUUUAGUCGCAAUCAUUAUUUUUGAUGAUAUUGACAAGCAACCCCCACUUCAAACCGAGAGGUUGUGAGUUCAAGUCUCCCCAAGAGCAAUGUGGGAAGUUCUUGGAGGGAAGGAUGCCGAGGGUCUAUUUGGAAANNNNNNNNNNNNNNNNNNNNNNNNNNNNNNNNNNNNNNNNNNNNNNNNNNNNNNNNNNNNNNNNNNUAUUUGGAAACAGCCUCUCUACCCAAGGGUAGGGGUAAGGUUUGCGUACACACUACCCUCCCCAGACCCCACUAAGUGGGAUUAUACUGGGUUAUGGUUGUUGUUGUUUUUAUGUAUACCACUUAACUCACGUGUAGACAAAAUAAGAUAACUAAGGGAGCAUUGGGUAAAUAGCCAAGUGUAUAUAUCAACUCUCAAGGGGCCUUACUGCAAAACCCUUAAACUAAAUACUAACUCAUUAAUAAUAACUAAUAUAACUACCAAUAAUUCCUCUUAAUCUUCAAUUCACAUCAUCUAUCCACUCAGCUGUGUGAGUAUACAGUUAAUGUAUAUUCAAACUUGACGAGGGGAUUCACUCAAACCAAUUAAAAAAACAGACCCCCUCCCCCUCUCUCUCUCUCUCUGUGCAGAAUCGCUCUAUACAAUUCCGCUAAAGCUAACAGUAUAGAGCAAAUAUGGAUCAAUUCUCAAAUCAUUAGUCUAAAGCAGAAUGUUGUACAAAAUGACAUGUGCAGUCUAAGACUAUGCUCCUUUUAAAUUUUUAAUUAAAUACCUGCAACCUAAAACUAGCAUGAAGCAAGGGAUUCUAGUAUCCUCCAACGCGAGCUUCUCUCUUCAGAAAUUGAAAAUAUAAGAAACUUGAAAUACAAUAGUCCACUUAUCAUCGAGAGUUCUUUAAUUAAAGAAGUUCAAACAAACGAAACUUAAUACUACAUAAACAAAACGCAGUUCAUUCUUUAAUCAGUUCUAAGUAGCACGAAUCGAAGAAUAGAAUUGCCAAAAGUUUUACCUUCACACCGAUCUGCAACUCCGUAACAUCACCGGAUUUCUUAGCCGUAACUGGAAAAUAUAAAUCGGAACUUAGACCGCAUUUGACAGUAUUCCUAUUGACUUAAUAUUUGCUUUUUAGCUCAAAAGAAAAGAAAACAAUUUUAGCACGUUGAAUAUCGCAUUAACAGAUCUGAUACAAAAAUCAAUAGCGUGUCGUACAAUCUUCAAAGAGAUUACCUAUGGUAAUAAG